rnacentral:rRNA from 1 species
AACCAGACUCCUACGGGAGGCAGCAGUGAGGAAUAUUGGUCAAUGGCCGGAAGGCUGAACCAGCCAAGCCGCGUGAAGGACGAAGGUGCCAAGCAUUGUAAACUUCUUUUGUCAAGGGACAAAAUCAGGCUCGAGAGCCUGACCGAGGGUGCUUGAAGAAAAAGCAUCGGCUAACUCCGUGCCAGCAGCCGCGGUAAUACGGAGGAUGCGAGCGUUAUCCGGAUUUAUUGGGUUUAAAGAGUGCGUAGGCGGACUGUUAAUCCGGGGUUAAAAGCCGGGGCCCCACCCCCGGCGAGCCGUUGAAACUGGCUGUCUUGAGAUGUCGAGAGGUAUGCGGAAUGCGCAGUGUAGCGGUGAAAUGCUUAGAUAUUGCGCAGAACUCCGAUUGCGAAGGUAGCAUACCGGCGGCGAUCUGACGCUGAGGCACGAAGGCGUGGGUAUCGAACAGGAUUAGAUACCCCGGUAUC